CAGUCGCCGCGGUAAUACGUAGGUGGCAAGCGUUAUCCGGAAUUAUUGGGCGUAAAGCGCGCGUAGGCGGUUUUUUAAGUCUGAUGUGAAAGCCCACGGCUCAACCGUGGAGGGUCAUUGGAAACUGGAAAACUUGAGUGCAGAAGAGGAAAGUGGAAUUCCAUGUGUAGCGGUGAAAUGCGCAGAGAUAUGGAGGAACACCAGUGGCGAAGGCGACUUUCUGGUCUGUAACUGACGCUGAUGUGCGAAAGCGUGGGGAUCAAACAGGAUUAGAGACCCGUGUAGUCCCUGUCUCUUAUAC
rnacentral:rRNA from 1 species